rnacentral:rRNA from 1 species
GCUAAGAAUCUUCCGCAAUGGGGGAAACCCUGACGGAGCGACGCCGCGUGGACGAAGAAGGCCGCAAGGUUGUAAAGUCCUUUUGCAGACGAAGAAUAAGGCUCGGAGUGGAACGCCGAACUGAUGACGUUAGUCUGCGAAUAAGCCCCGGCCAAUUACGUGCCAGCAGCCGCGGUAACACGUAUGGGGCAAGCGUUGUUCGGAAUCACUGGGCGUAAAGGGCGUGUAGGCGGUUCGAAAAGCCCGGCGUGAAAGGUGUCGGCCCAACCGACAGACUGCGCUGGGAACUGCCGGACUGGAGUCAUGGAGGGGGAGCUGGAAUUCCAGGUGUAGGGGUGAAAUCUGUAGAGAUCUGGAAGAACACCGGUGGCGAAGGCGAGCUUCUGGCCAAUGACUGACGCUGAGGCGCGAAAGCGUGGGGAGCAAACAGGAUUAGAAACCCUUGUAGUCC